rnacentral:rRNA from 1 species
CAGCAGCCACGGUAAAACGUAGGUGGCAAGCGUUGUCCGGAAUUAUUGGGCGUAAAGCGCGCGCAGGUGGUUUAAUAAGUCUGAUGUGAAAGCCCACGGCUCAACCGUGGAGGGUCAUUGGAAACUGUUAAGCUUGAGUGCAGGAGAGGAAAGCGGAAUUCCUAGUGUAGCGGUGAAAUGCGCAGAUAUUAGGAGGAACACCGGCGGCGAAGGCGGCCUUCUGGACUGCAACUGACACUGAGGCACGAAAGCGUGGGGAGCAAACAGGAUUAGAUACCCCUGUAGUCCCUGUCUCUUAUAC